rnacentral:sRNA from 1 species
AAUUAAAAAUUUCUUGCAACAACAAGAGAGGACAAACAUGAAAAAAAAAGAACAUAAAUUUAUUUGAUAGUUCAUCGCCUAAAACAUCAUUGGUGUUAAUUUUAAAAUCGGUUCUAACUCUCUAGAUGAUGUGUUUAAGUUAUAUCAGAAAGAUAAACUUAAACAUUUGUUUGUAGAUAAAACACGUUUCACGUAGUGUAAUACCGUUUUGAGAUAAUCACUUAAUCUAACGUAACUAAUGAAGCAUACCAGCUAAAUUUUUUUCUAAGUCUCAUAUAUAAACAUCUCUCAGAAAUCCAUUAAAGAAAAGAUUACAUCCGGAAAAUGUACUCAUAAUAUUCUCUACCCAAAUGCCUAAAAAAAUAAAAAAGGAUAUAUUGAAUUAAAAAAUUUAGAAAGAGUGAUGGUUGAAGUUUCGACUUAUGAUAGGUUCAUAUGUUGAAUUAAUUACUAAUUAUGUAUUACUCAUUUAAGAAAUCUAGGUGGCAAGUUCUCAUAUGCUGAUGUGUCAAGUUGUAGGAGAGAGUUGGCCAACUUUCAUAUAUAUGAUUUAAUUUCUUAUUCCAUCUUUGGUUAAUAGGCUUAGUUUCUUGCUGAAUAUUGGAUUCUAAUCUUGUAUCAC